rnacentral:lncRNA from 1 species
CGACGACGAGUGGGAGGAGCACUCCUCCUCCUUCAAGCCCUCUCGCGUCUUCAAGAAGUUGCGCACCCCGACGCCGACGGCAAUCGAGUCAUUCACCUACCGGAAGUGCCGAGUCUCUGAUAAUGACUCUGAUUGCGUCGAGAUUAAGGACGAUUCGGACGACGAUUGAGUGGAGAUCAAGAACGAUUUGGAGGACGACGACGUCGUCGAGGAGGUCCGCCGGCCGGUGACACGUGGAGGGAGGUUUGUGGUCGAAGACGAGGAUAGCGACGGGGAUUGGCCUCCUCUUCGCUUCAGAUUCGA